AGGCGCAGAGAUUGAAGGAUGGUAUGGCCUGCCUCCCACCUGGCAGCACUUGCGAUGAAAGCGCUUGCGUUAUCACUAUUAUUCAUGACACUCCGCUACUAUCACGGGAAGGAAUAGAAGAAAUAAAAAAGGAAACCACCAGAAGGAGACAGAGGCGUCGCCUUAGACGUCAGAUCAUCUAUAAUCAUCAAGAAGGGGUGCAUUCAUGCAGCGAAGUCGAGAAACGGCUGUAGUAGAAGACUUUACAUCGAGUUGUAGAAGUACAAGCAUGAUCAAGUUAGAGUAAAUUUUUUUUUUAUUUGCUUUGCCUAAAUUGUCUGAUUCUGUCAGAGAUCAGUCUAGCGCUUAGUCAUCAAAUCUGGUUUGUAAUUUAU
rnacentral:lncRNA from 1 species